rnacentral:misc_RNA from 1 species
AAGUCGUAACAAGGUUUCCGUAGGUGAACCUGCGGAAGGAUCAUUACUGAGUGCGGGCCCCUUGCGGGUCCAACCUCCCACCCGUGUCUCUUGAAUACCCUGUUGCUUUGGCGGGCCCACCGGGAAACCGGUCGCCGGGGGGCAUUGUGCCCCCGGGUCCGCGCCCGCCAGAGCGCCUGUGAACCCUAAUGAAGAAGGACUGUCUGAGUCUGAGAUAUAAUUAUCAAAACUUUCAACAAUGGAUCUCUUGGUUCCG